GCUGGGCAUAGUGAUGCACGCCUGUAAUCCCAGCAACUCAGGAGGCUGAGGCAAGAGGAUCACAAGUUCAAGGCCAGCCUUAGCAACUUAGCAAGGCCUAAGCAACUUAGCAAGAUUCUGCCUCAA
rnacentral:sRNA from 1 species